rnacentral:lncRNA from 1 species
UGGAGCAGCUCUUGGCUGUGAACAAAUUUUCUUAAUCUGUAUUCCUCCUGUCUUGAGAGAUUCCGUUAAAAAGAAUUCAGGUUUACUUAAUGCAUGUUCCAUAGUCUAGCCACUCUUCCUACCUUUCUCUGAUCAGUCUCACACUGUGGGUGACACUGAGGCGAUCCAGUGCGGGGCUUCACUCACUUCCUGAUGAAGCGGCGGUUCAGUGCAGACCUUCACUCACCUCUUGACGAAGCGACAACCCAAGGAAAAGAGUGCUCUCUCUCAGACCCCAAACCCAGAGCCAUAAGCUGGGCGCCAGUUUGCCCUGACCUGCAGGUAUAAUCAGCAGGAACCUAGGGCAAGGGAGUGAGAUAGUGGGGGGGGAAGAGACAGGAAGAAUGAGAGCAAGAAUCAUACUGAUUAAGCUCUAAAAACUUUAUUCGGUAGAGGCAAUAUAAGCAUAAGCAAAAGGAGGCUCCAAGGGAGGGGGGAAGAGCCCGAGGGAUCUCUGAAGGUCAGGUGACAAUCUUCAGGUCCUGGAACCAACGGUCACAGUGUCCUCUUUUCCCACACAUAUUCUUAAUGUUAUUUUUUUUACCCUAGCACUAGCUCUAACCCUAACUCUAACCCUAAACCUAACCCUAGCCCUAACCCUAACCCUAGCCCUAGCCCUAACCCUAACUCUAACCCUAACCCUAGCUCUAACCCUAAUCCUAGCACUACCUCUAACCCUAGCCCUAACCCUAACCCUAGCUCAGACAGAGACACGAGCUGCACAGGCAACGGUUAAGGCCAGGCAGGCCGGGUCCCAAGGAAGGAAGAAGGAAGGAGGAAGGGAGAACUGGGGCAGACAAACGGGGAGGAUGUGCAAAGUCAGUAUCGUGAGGAGUAUCCUGCCCAAGCAGGCUGAUCCAUCUUUGCACUGGAAUGCCCACUAGCAGCAACUUGUCUGGUGUCUGGGUAUCCUUUGGGCCCUGUGUACUCGGUUUGUACUAUCUCAAAACUCAGACUUUGGCUGCUAAAAACAUGUUCCCAGGUUUAGGCAUUUGAGGGUGUCACUACCUCAUGUUGGAGGCAGAUGGCUCUGAGAAGCUCUUCAGUCUUCUCUCCAAAGCAGUGAAAACUGCAGAGCAGUGCACCAACCCGAAACAUUUGCAUUAUUGCCCCUGAACUAUUCAAGAAAUGCUUUGACUCUCACUGUGUGAUGAUAGAGCCCAUCUUGGAGUCUCUUCUGGGUCCCCCGAUUCCAUGAUCCCACUAGGAACACAGGAAGAUGAAGUAAAACCGAGGAAACUGUGUAGGAUUGGGAUGUGUGCCCG